rnacentral:rRNA from 1 species
AUACGGAAGGUCCGGGCGUUAUCCGGAUUUAUUGGGUUUAAAGGGAGCGCAGGCGGAGAUGCAAGCGUGACGUCAAAUUUCGGGGCUCAACCCCGUCUCGCGUCGCGAACUGCGUCCCUUGGUUGCGGGAAGGGGAGGCGGAACUCGUGGUGUAGCGGUGAAAUGCAUAGAUAUCACGAAGAAUUCCGAUCGCGAAGGCAGCCUUCCGGCCCGUCAACGACGCUCAUGCUCGAAGGUGCGGGUAUCAAACAGGAUUAGAUACCCUGGUAGUCCGCACAGUAAACGAUGGACACCCGCGGUUUGGCCUGUAUGGCUGAGCCGCCAAGCGAAAGCGUUAAGUGUCCCACCUGGGGAGUACGCCGGCAACGGUGAAACUCAAAGGAAUUGACGGGG